rnacentral:rRNA from 1 species
CGGGUGAGUAACACGUAUGCAACCUGCCUGCCACAGCCGGAUAAUCGGGAGAAAUUCCGUCUAAUACGGCAUAAUGCAUCGACGGGACAUCCUGUUGGUGCCAAAGGUUGAUUCCGGUGGCGGAUGGGCAUGCGUCGCAUUAGUUAGUUGGCGGUGUAACGGACCACCAAGACGACGAUGCGUAGGGGUUCUGAGAGGAAGGUCCCCCACACUGGUACUGAGACACGGCCCAGACUCCUACGGGAGGCAGCAG